CCGAGUGCUUGCACUCAAUUGGAAAGAGGAGUGGCGGACGGGUGAGUAACACGUGGGUAACCUACCCAUCAGAGGGGGAUAACACUUGGAAACAGGUGCUAAUACCGCAUAACAGUUUAUGCCGCAUGGCAUAAGAGUGAAAGGCGCUUUCGGGUGUCGCUGAUGGAUGGACCCGCGGUGCAUUAGCUAGUUGGUGAGGUAACGGCUCACCAAGGCCACGAUGCAUAGCCGACCUGAGAGGGUGAUCGGCCACACUGGGACUGAGACACGGCCCAGACUCCUACGGGAGGCAGCAGUAGGGAAUCUUCGGCAAUGGACGAAAGUCUGACCGAGCAACGCCGCGUGAGUGAAGAAGGUUUUCGGAUCGUAAAACUCUGUUGUUAGAGAAGAACAAGGACGUUAGUAACUGAACGUCCCCUGACGGUAUCUAACCAGAAAGCCACGGCUAACUACGUGCCAGCAGCCGCGGUAAUACGUAGGUGGCAAGCGUUGUCCGGAUUUAUUGGGCGUAAAGCGAGCGCAGGCGGUUUCUUAAGUCUGAUGUGAAAGCCCCCGGCUCAACCGGGGAGGGUCAUUGGAAACUGGGAGACUUGAGUGCA
rnacentral:rRNA from 1 species